GCUGCUGAGAUGGAUCAGAAUGACUCAAAGGGGACUUAGCAGGAACUGGCGACGCCAACCCCGCUGUGUCUGAAGAUGCCUUAUUCAGGGACAAGCUGAAACACAUGGGAAAGUCCACCCGGAGGAAACUGUUUGAACUUGCCCGAGCCUUCUCAGAGAAGACCAAAAUGAGGAAGUCAAAGAGGAAACACUUGUUGAAGCAUCAGUCGCUGGGGGCUGCCGCGUCAACAGCCAACCUCCUGGAUGAUGUGGAGGGCCACGCGUGUGAUGAAGACUUCCGGGGCAGGCGUCAGGAGGCACCCAAGGUGGAGGAAGGCCUGCGAGAAGGACAGUAAGAGAUGCCAGCAGCUCUUCCUUGCCAGAGAUGAUCUGACCCGGUGGGGGCAGCUGGAAAGCAACACUGGCCCCCAGCUGAAGGGCCCAGCUGCAGCCAGACAGAUGGUGCUUGAGAACCGAGGCCCAGUGAUCCUCCAGCCACAGUCCAGCCCAACCACUGCCACUUUCCAUGGGACUUAGAACUUCGGAGUUGCUGCCUUGCAAUUGGAGGAAGGACCUGGGGCCCCUAUAGGCAGCAGCCAAUUACAGCCCCUUUUGUAGCCAGGCGUUCCUAUGGUCAAAGAGUGGAAAUGCAGGAACCAACCUCCCUUUAAAAAAAAAAAAAA
rnacentral:sRNA from 1 species